ensembl:lincRNA
AUGUGUCUGUGUCAGAGGCCAGAGGUGCACCUGAAAUGCACCAAAGUGGGGUGGGGUCCUAGUUUCCUGAAAGAACAGCAUCUUGGGGGCUUACGGUGGGGGCGGGCAGUGGCCUCAGGGCCAGAAUGUAUGGGAAGUUGGCUGGCGCAUGAGGUCAGGUCCCGACCCCACCAGCCACUCACUGCCAGUGAGGGUGGUGACACCCUGCAGACGGCUCUGGGUUCCCCACCUGACACAUGGCAGGGUUUUGGGUCAGGCGGAGAGGAAGAGAGAGGGUACUCCUUUCCCCUGCCUUUGGGCACCCCCACCGGGUGCCCCAAAUCUAUUCCUCAAUUCUGGGGCCCCAAAGAGGCUUGCAAGUCUAGUCUCCUUUCAGGAAGAAAGUCCUGGGUAACGGGAAAAGUCACAGGUCCUGUUUCUGAGAGGGAAGGGGGGCCCCAGGAGAAGAUGGAGAAGAAGCUGAAGGUGAUGGCCGCCCGGGCUGAGUCGGCUCCUACAAGCACAUCGUUCACCUUGGUGGCCGCCCACUGAUUGGUGAGGAAGCAGAAGCCAACGAACCACAGGAAGGUCCAGAGAGCUGGGGCGAAGGCCGGGAGGGGAGGGUUAGCUCCACAGAGGGGCAGGAGGACAGGGGCCCCCUGGGAGCGAGAAGCCUCCAGGGGUGUAGAAGUGUGCUGAUUCAGAAGCUGGGGUGGGGACAGGACGCUAUCUCUGGGGCUCUGCUCCAAGCCCCACUCAGCUCCAGGGGGUUUCAGCAGACGGUUAGAAAUCCUUGUGUGCCAGCCUGACCGUGGGUGAGGUCAGGAAACCCGGGGCUGCUCCCACCCCCCCCCCCCCCCCGCACCGCCCCCCCCCCCCUAGAGCUUCUGGGAACACUGCUGCUCCCGUUCACCCCAAGAUCAAGUGGAGGUGCAGCCAGCUGGCCGAUACCUGAGAAGAGCAGGUCACCGAUGACCAGGUACUUGCGGUCAGUGGCAUUGCUGAUCUGGGGGAAGUAGAUGUCGACCACGAAGAAGAAGGCUGAGGCCAGGAAGGCCAGCACCCCAAUGGCGCUGCCGUAGCGGCACGCAUCCUCGUUGCGGUUGAAGACGCAGUACUGCUGCUGGGAAUCAUGGGUGUUGCUGUAGCCCUCGCCGAAGAUGCAUGAGAACACGAUCAAGGCGAAGACCUGAGGAGGAGGCAGGGGAAGGGCUGCGUGCAUGCCACCCUCGUGGGCCACACCUCCAGGCAGCACAGGGAGCGGGACCCUGAUGGGAGGGGACACUGGCCUCCCCGCUCCUGCUGUUCCCCUGCUGGAGGUCGGUGACCCAGCCUUUCCUGAACUUGGGGAUCGAGUCCCCUCCCCACUCCCUUCUCCAGACAUCUGUUAUAAGGGGCAUGGAUUCCUGGACUGAGGACAGUGGGGAGUGCAGGGGGAUCUCCUGGGAGGGCACUGCCCACCCCGCUGUCUGCCUGGGGGAUGGCUCUGCCUGACCACUCCCACUUGUGAGUUUUAAGCAGGAUGGCUCACAAAGUCAGAGUAACCCAAGCUUGGAGUCUCACCCCCUGAUCACCACCUGCCUGAGUCACCUCUCCAGCGCCCAGCCUCUGCCUGAACACCCAGUGAUGGAGAACUCCUCCCACUUCAGGAAAACCAUGCCUCUGAACUGAAACUGUGUCCCCAGACUGCCAACUCCCACAGCCCCCUCCAACUCUUCCCUGCUCCAGGCUGGGCUCCCCAGUUUGACCAGUUUUCCUCCUACAAAGAAUUCUGGGCUCUUUGGCAUCCUGGCCCCUGGCCUCCCAGGGAAUCCCUGUUGGCUUCUGCCCAUAGCUGGUCCUACCCACACAGGCACCUCAGGUGGGUCUGCCCAGCAGGCUUGUGGACAUAGCUCUGUACUCAGACCCUGGAGGCACUGGGGUAGGGGGUCAAGAGGGUGCAGCACCCACAACUCUGGGAGGGGCUCCAGGCCCUUGGGAACAGCCUCACAUCACCUGUCUCCACCCCAAACUGAAAGGCUACCGCCCAACCCCGCCGUAUGUGAGUCUGGACACCUGGCUCCCUCUGGGACUAGCCCAGACCUCUCCCCCGCCUGCCCUGCCUGUCUGCACAAGGCCCUCUCAAUAGGCUCCGGAGCUGGCAGUCACAAGCCCCACCCCCAGCUGGAGAUGAAGCCGGAACUCUGGAUGCUGGGAGCAGUGUGCCAGCCUGACUCCUGGCACUGCCAUCCCGAAACAUGGGCAUCUGCUCCUGGGGUCAGACCCCCCGGGUCAGGCAGAGUGCGGAUGAGGGUGUCACCAGGGCAACUCACAGGGCUCCAGCCCAGGCAGGUGCGGGUGGCUACCUUAGGCCCAGUCCUCUCCCUGUGGGCUCCCUAACACCUUGUCCAGCUUUGAGCUCUGGUUGUCCAAGUGCAGGGGACCUCCCACCAAGCCCCUGCCCCAGUAACCUGGUGCUGGAGCGGCUCACCCAGCUCAGGGGAAGGGGCACAGACUAGGGUCACUUGACCUUGGGUGGGGAAGCAGACCCAUGGGCUGCUUUUGAGUGGAAGACAGGCUCUGUUUCAGGGAGGCCAAGCCUUCCCCCGAAACCCUCUGCACCCCACGUGGCUUCGGAAAGCCCCCCUCCGGAUGAAUUCCCCCAGGCUGGGAGUCGCGGCAUGCUGGCCACCUGUCCUGGAGCCGCCUCAAACUCCUCCCACUGCCAGCAGGGCGAUGGGCCUGCUCCCGGCGGCGCCUCCCGGGCCACCCGGUGCCCGGGCCCGGAGGUGGGGGUGGCAGGGCCCGGGGU